CUACCACAUCUAAGGAAGGCAGCAGGCGCGUAAAUUACCCAAUCCUGACUCAGGGAGGUAGUGACAAGAAAUAACGGACCGAAGCCUAUGUUUCGGGAUUGCAAUGAGUUGAAUUUACACCCCUUUACGAGGAUCAAUUGGAGGGCAAGUCUGGUGCCAGCAGCCGCGGUAAUUCCAGCUCCAAUAGCGCAUAUUAAAGUUGUUGCAGUUAAAAAGCUCGUAGUUGGAUUUCUGGGAGGGUGCCAAUGUCCGCUUGUUGCGUGUGCAGCGGCGCCCUCCCAUCCUUCUGUUAACGUUUCUGAUAUUCACUUAUUGGUCUCGGGCUCAGAUAUUUUACCUUGAGAAAAUUAGAGUGUUCCAGGCAGGCUUGCGCCGGAAUACAUUAGCAUGGAAUAAUAGAAUAGGACUUUAGUCUCCUUUGUUGGUUUGAGGGACUGAAGUAAUGAUUAAUAGGGAUAGUUGGGGGCAUUAGUAUUUAAUUGUCAGAGGUGAAAUUCUCGGAUUUGUUAAAGACUAACUUAUGCGAAAGCAUUUGCCAAGGAUGUUUU
rnacentral:rRNA from 1 species